rnacentral:rRNA from 1 species
UCCUACGGGAGGCAGCAGUGGGGAAUAUUGGUCAAUGGACGCAAGUCUGAACCAGCCAUGUCGCGUGCAGGAUGACUGCCCUAUGGGUUGUAAACUGCUUUUAUAUUGGAAGAAUUGCGCUUACGAGUUAAGCGUUUGACGGUACAUUAUGAAUAAGGAUCGGCUAACUCCGUGCCAGCAGCCGCGGUAAUACGGAGGAUCCGAGCGUUAUCCGGAUUUAUUGGGUUUAAAGGGUGCGUAGGCGGAAAUGUAAGUCAGUGGUGAAAUCCUGCAGCUUAACUGUAGAAUAGCCGUUGAAACUGUGUUUCUUGAGUACAUUUGAGGUAGGCGGAAUGUGGUGUGUAGCGGUGAAAUGCAUAGAUAUACCACAGAACACCGAUUGCGAAGGCAGCUUACUAAACUGUCACUGACGCUGAUGCACGAAAGCGUGGGUAUCAAACAGGAUUAGAUACCCUGGUAGUCCACGCUGUAAACGAUGAUUACUGGUUGUUUGCGAUACACUGCAAGUGACCGAGCGAAAGCAUUAAGUAAUCCACCUGGGGAGUACGUCGGCAACGAUGAAACUCAAAGGAAUUGACGG